rnacentral:lncRNA from 1 species
UCGGUUAGGAUCUGGUAUCCAAUUUUAUUCUCAAUUAUUUGUUCUCUUUUAGCAUCCCAUUAUUCAACUCUACUAUAUACUAGAGUCUUUGUCCGCGCUACGCGCGGAAAAUGGGCUAUUUCAAUUUUGUGUUCAUUUGAAAUUUUUUCUUAUUAUUAGUAAUUUUUAUAUUAAGAAAUAUGGGCUAUUUUAAUUUUGUGUUUGAUUUGAAAUAUUUUAUUAUUAUUAAUAAUUUAUAUUAAAUAUUUGUAAAAUGAGAGCAAUUUAACUCUGAAGAUUAUUAUGUUUAAAUUAUAUUGUAAAAUGAUUAAUAAUCAUAUUUUGUUUAAAUUAUAAUAAUGAUUUUGUUUAAAUUAUACUCUGUUCUUGCUGAAGUUAAAUUUUUUUGUGCUCAUAUGUAUAUCAUUUUUAAAUAAAUAGGUUGGGUAUUAUGAAAUGCGGUCCUAUAGCUUUUUAUAUUGCUAUAUUAAGUCACAAAGUUUAUAUCAUUUACUAUAUAUCAUUGAAUAUUAUAAUGUAGUUUUUUCUUGUUCUAGGCUGUUAAGUUUCAUAAACGCAUUUCUAUAGAUGUAGCACAUUGGAUAAUGAAACAUUUGCUGGUUGAUUGGUUGCAAAACUGAUUGAUUUGGAAUGUUUAGUUGCAAAACUUGUAGAUUUUUAGGAAAUAUACUUUUAAAUUAUAAUUUGUAUUGUAAGUAGAACAUGAGUGCGUAUGUAUUAAGGAUUAUUAGAACUUGUUAGAUUCCUUGACUGCGAAGUAGAACUUGAUUAUUAUUAUUUGAUUUACCAUCUUGCCCGUUUUAUGUAAUAUUAUAGGCUUUAGCCACAAGCUUUACUCAAUGCAAAGGAAAUACAUGAAAUUAUUGUCACUACUUUAUAUUGCUUUUCACAUAAAACGGGCCAUUCUCUAAUUAUAAAAAAAUAAAAUAUUUGAUUUACUGUAUAGUUAUUGGUUGUUAUUUUUUGAGAUUAGACAUUUAUCUCAAUCAUAUUAUAUUAUUCGAUAUAUAAUAUAUAUUGAAUAGAACAUACAAUGCGGUCUUAGAUAUAAUAUUAGUAAAGCCCAUAAAAAAUGUAUCAAGUGAUAAUAAAAUAUAAAGAUAUUUUAUUUUUGAAUAUAGAUCAAAUAAUUUAAUAACAGGUUCUACUUAUAUAAAUUAUGUAAAUAUGUAAAUCACUAAUUUAUAAUUUUGAUGAGACCAUAUAUUUGGUUAAAAUUUUCUAAAAAUAUUAUCUUAUUAUUUAUCAAUUCGUGAUAAAUUUAGCCGGCCUAAUUUGGGACCGGUGAGUUUUAUUAAUUUAUUGAGUAUUACAUAAAAGAGUAUUAAUUGAUGGAGUUUGUUCUGUUCUGACUGUCAAAAUGUUAGCACUUGUUCUGAUCUUAAGUAGAUGUUGACCAAUUCUAAUCAUAAACUCUGAAUUAUAUGAGUAGUAGUAUGGAAUAAUGCCAAGUAAAUUCUUUAAAGAGAUGAGGAUAACCAAAUUGUUUAAAGAGAUGAGUGUAUCCAACUAACGAAAAAUGUAUUCAAAGAAACAUAAAGACCGACCAAAAAACGGAAAGUAUGAAGAUAGAAAUAGAAAAACGCAAAGUCGUUACGUAAACAUCAAACCGAACUCAUACUGCAGCAAAAAACAGUCACUGCGUAUGAAGAUAGCUGAAGCUGCAUUAGCCACUCUUGGAACGCUUGGCUUCGUCUGAUUCAAUACCCUCAGACGCUUUUCUAACCCGACCACCAGCGGCAUCCACUAACCCACUGGAGGAACCGGAUACUUCACUUCCAGUCUUCAAGAAACCAUCGGACGUAGCUGGAAUAGCGUCUUCGACCAAUGGUUCUAUAGGAUGUGGAGCUUCUGGUGGAAGUAUCUUGGUGACGGUUAUGGUCCGUGUCUUCCCUUUCAAGUUAUGAUCGGAGACUUUCACUAUGAACCUGUGUGUCUGCCCGAUUGUAUCAAGCAAAUCUUGCGGUACCGGCACGCAAUGGUCAGCUUCCACGCUCUCAUUAGACUAACAUUCAAGAAAAAUUUAUGUGAGUUCAAAUAUUAUGGGGCUAUAUAUACACAGAUUCUUAAUUACCUCAAAGUAUCUGGCAACUAAUUCUGAAGCAUGCUUUCCAGUCAACUCUUUGCCAGCAUCACCAAGAAUGACAAAAACUGCUUGCUCACUCUUAUCAUAAACAGAUAUCCUGGUUAGGUAUCUGCAAUGAGAGAAGAUAAUUUAUUAGUGCAGGCAAAAAGUAGAUGAAACUGUGUAGACAUCACUUACUGAGCAACGCCCGUGACUUCACUCUUCAUACACUUCUUAUUGUUACAAAUCAGGGAGGUAGGCCCUUUGAACGCCUUGCUGUUACACCCAUCGCAUGAAAUAUAAUACCAAGCCGAACCCUGGAUAACAUCAUCUAUAGUUGCUGUGCAUUCAAACCAAGCAACCUACCAUAGUGGAAAUUAGAAAAAACUAUAUCAAUACAGAAGCAUACGACAACUAAUUUGGAAACAGAACAAAUCUUGUACCUUAGCAGUUGGCAGCUUUAUGUAGGAGAAGAGUUCCUCAAGAGUAGCUGUCUCAGGCUUAGUGACAACCUCUGCAUUAAUCUUGUUAGCAAUUUCCGAGUUGGAUCCCAACCUGAGAAAAAUGGAAGCGCGAAAAGUAUGGCAAGGUCAAAUCGCAUGAAAUGGCAAACAGAGGUCGCUUGUAAAAUAUAAAUACAAAAAAUGCUCACCACCCGAGGUAAUCCCUGCUAGGCUGAACAUCAGUAUCCAUAAACACUCGAGAUGAUGCCAUCGAAGUCAGAGCAAGGGUUCCUGAUCAGACCACAUGAUUUGAUUAUUACCAACCAAAUACUUAACGAUGCCACAAAAGCAUUAAAACAGAAUUUCGUACUAUAGAUCUGGCUCACUUAACAAUAAAAAUGUCCAAAUACAUUUCAGUUCGAAUCACCACACCUAAGCUAUACAUUACUAAGUAAAUGUUACCUCCAAGAUGCUUAGGGUUGACUGUGGUGACCAAAAUAACGCUUGGAGUGCUUCCAUAAGAUUUGAAUUUCUCACAGAAGUCCGAUGCCGCUUUGUCCCAUAGAUAGAGCUUCAUUACUGGCCCGCUGCAUAACAUUAAAACCAUGUGUCAACCAUAACUCACACAGAAUCUAACUCUAUUUGGACAGACUUACUCGUGUGUCUGAACAUGAACACAAAGAUGCCGCUUCUCUGCUAUGCCGGCUUCGUCGAGAACAAUAUGAUCAGUGAUAGUCUGCCCAUUCACCAGCUUCAUGUGGCCAACAUAGUCUAGGAUAAAAUAUUUCAUAGUAGUAUAUUCAGUAGAUGUAAAUAUAUAAAACCUAAAGAUUUAAGUAUAAACACUUGAGUAGUUAAACAGAGAUUACCAUAAAGAUCAAUUUUGUGGUCACAAUUAGCCUGGAACUCCUCGUAGUUAUGAAACCUGAACCUAUCCUCAGGGAUUGAAACCGGGGGGUUAUCAACAACGGAUAGCUCAGAAUUCCAAGCGAAGGUGACGGUUGCGUUAUGAUCAGAAACACGAUACUGAGUUUUGUUCCCCUAUAUCUACAAACUCUAUUCAACGCUACUAUUAUUCCACAACCUUUCUUCUUUACUACGAUUAAUAUCUAGGAUUAAUCAGUUUCCUGUUAAUUAAAGGUGUAUGAAGAAGUUUCAACUUGGUAUAAUAUAUUUUCACACAAGAUAUAUACCAAUCUUCAUUUAGAAUCCUAAAUCAUUAUAUAUUUGAAUCCAUAAACUUUAGCACAGAUAAAGGUUGAGAGGAUAGAUUCAUAUUUAAGUAAUCUUUAAAUGUGUGGCAAAGGGGAAAACAAAUUCUUAGUUCAUUAUUUAAUUCCCACAUGGUAAUAGUGAAAAAAAUACAUUUUGGAUUUCUUAUUCAUGAAGAUAGCCCACUAAAAUGAAAUCACAUAUAUAAAUAUCGAUCUUUUAUAGUCCCAAGAAAAAUAUUUCAAAACCCUCCAUGAAUAAAUAUAUAUAUAUAGAGUAUCGAGCAGCGCAUAAGCGUAGUGUGCUGUAGCAGAGUGUGUUAUGAAGAAAAAGAUUAUGCUUAGGUAAAGGAUGAACAAGCCAAUGAUGAUACGAACUAAACGGGUGUGCUCCAGUACUAGUUGGGACAUCUAGUUAACCAAGCCAUGAAUCAGAUAUUUCACAGGCACGUCAUUCAAACUCGACCAUGCAGCCGUGUGCUCUUUUGUAUUUACUAUUGGUGAUGUGGGGAUAGCCGCUUGGAUUUACCACAAUAACGUCUCUGUGAAGUUGUACUUGUUUGAAUAAGCUUCAAC